rnacentral:rRNA from 1 species
GAUGAACGCUGGCGGCGUGCCUAAUACAUGCAAGUCGAGCGAACGGACGAGAAGCUUGCUUCUCUGAUGUUAGCGGCGGACGGGUGAGUAACACGUGGAUAACCUACCUAUAAGACUGGGAUAACUUCGGGAAACCGUAGCUAAUACCGGAUAAUAUUUUGAACCGCAUGGUUCAAAAGUGAAAGACGGUCUUGCUGUCACUUAUAGAUGGAUCCGCGCUGCAUUAGCUAGUUGGUAAGGUAACGGCUUACCAAGGCAACGAUGCAUAGCCGACGUGAGAGGGUGGUCGGCCACCCUAGAACGGGGACACGGUCCAGACUCCUACGGGAGGCAGCAGUAGGGAAUCUUCCGCAAUGGGCGAAAGCCUGACGGAGCAACGCCGCGUGAGUGAUGAAGGUCUUCGGAUCGUAAAACUCUGUUAUUGGGGAAGAACAUAUGUGUAAGUAACUGUGCACAUCUUGACGGUACCUAAUCAGAAAGCCACGGCUAACUACGUG